AUAGAACAGUACUCUGGAGAUGAUAAAGCAUGUUCUGAGAAAUCAAGAACCACUGAGAGAUGCACUGGUCAUACAAACAACUUUGUGUCACCAUGCCAAACGUCACCAUGCCAACAACAGCUGAGCUGGAUAAACUGAACAAGUUGGAAACAGUGCUGGAGCCCUGCAGGUUACAAGAAGACUACAGCAGUUUCAGCACCAAUGACCAUGCAUGGUUGAUAAUCCCGUCCUCGAGCCUGUGUGUUUGAACAUCUAAAGAGCAACUACAGGCCUUUACAUCUAAGGGGAAUAGAGUGAUACUUGGCCUACAGAAGCUUUGCUAGCUGGUGUUGGAUCUUUCCGAGUGGCCUGCCUGGUGAUACGGACAAAGUCCCCCUGACGAUCAAGGAAGGUACGUUCAGUCUUUGAAUGAACAUGUAGGUCUGGCUAUCCUUUCCUGCAUCUCUGGACUUUGAAAAUGGGCAGAAGGAUCCUCUGGGAUGGGGAUUUUUAGCACCUCAUCCACAUAU